rnacentral:rRNA from 1 species
UACAGAGGGGGCAAGCGUUGUUCGGAAUUACUGGGCGUAAAGGGCGCGUAGGCGGCCCGCUAAGUCGAACGUGAAAUCCCCGAGCUCAACUCGGGAACUGCGUCCGAUACUGGCGGGCUUGAAUCCGGGAGAGGGAUGCAGAAUUCCAGGUGUAGCGGUGAAAUGCGCAGAUAUCAGGAGGAACACCGGUGGCGAAGGCGGGUCUCUGGGCCGAUACUGACGCUGAGGAGCGAAAGCGUGGGGAGCGAACAGG